rnacentral:siRNA from 1 species
CACCUGUUCCUCUUCACCAUGUGA